rnacentral:rRNA from 1 species
AAAUUGAAGAGUUUGAUCAUGGCUCAGAUUGAACGCUGGCGGCAGGCCUAACACAUGCAAGUCGAACGGUAACAGGAAGCAGCUUGCUGUUUCGCUGACGAGUGGCGGACGGGUGAGUAAUGUCUGGGAAACUGCCUGAUGGAGGGGGAUAACUACUGGAAACGGUGGCUAAUACCGCAUAACGUCGCAAGACCAAAGAGGGGGACCUUCGGGCCUCUUGCCAUCAGAUGUGCCCAGAUGGGAUUAGCUUGUUGGUGAGGUAACGGCUCACCAAGGCGACGAUCCCUAGCUGGUCUGAGAGGAUGACCAGCCACACUGGAACUGAGACACGGUCCAGACUCCUACGGGAGGCAGCAGUGGGGAAUAUUGCACAAUGGGCGCAAGCCUGAUGCAGCCAUGCCGCGUGUAUGAAGAAGGCCUUCGGGUUGUAAAGUACUUUCAGCGGGGAGGAAGGUGUUGUGGUUAAUAACCGCAGCAAUUGACGUUACCCGCAGAAGAAGCACCGGCUAACUCCGUGCCAGCAGCCGCGGUAAUACGGAGGGUGCAAGCGUUAAUCGGAAUUACUGGGCGUAAAGCGCACGCAGGCGGUCUGUCAAGUCGGAUGUGAAAUCCCCGGGCUCAACCUGGGAACUGCAUUCGAAACUGGCAGGCUUGAGUCUUGUAGAGGGGGGUAGAAUUCCAGGUGUAGCGGUGAAAUGCGUAGAGAUCUGGAGGAAUACCGGUGGCGAAGGCGGCCCCCUGGACAAAGACUGACGCUCAGGUGCGAAAGCGUGGGGAGCAAACAGGAUUAGAUACCCUGGUAGUCCACGCCGUAAACGAUGUCUACUUGGAGGUUGUGCCCUUGAGGCGUGGCUUCCGGAGCUAACGCGUUAAGUAGACCGCCUGGGGAGUACGGCCGCAAGGUUAAAACUCAAAUGAAUUGACGGGGGCCCGCACAAGCGGUGGAGCAUGUGGUUUAAUUCGAUGCAACGCGAAGAACCUUACCUGGUCUUGACAUCCACAGAACUUUCCAGAGAUGGAUUGGUGCCUUCGGGAACUGUGAGACAGGUGCUGCAUGGCUGUCGUCAGCUCGUGUUGUGAAAUGUUGGGUUAAGUCCCGCAACGAGCGCAACCCUUAUCCUUUGUUGCCAGCGGUUAGGCCGGGAACUCAAAGGAGACUGCCAGUGAUAAACUGGAGGAAGGUGGGGAUGACGUCAAGUCAUCAUGGCCCUUACGACCAGGGCUACACACGUGCUACAAUGGCGCAUACAAAGAGAAGCGACCUCGCGAGAGCAAGCGGACCUCAUAAAGUGCGUCGUAGUCCGGAUUGGAGUCUGCAACUCGACUCCAUGAAGUCGGAAUCGCUAGUAAUCGUGGAUCAGAAUGCCACGGUGAAUACGUUCCCGGGCCUUGUACACACCGCCCGUCACACCAUGGGAGUGGGUUGCAAAAGAAGUAGGUAGCUUAACCUUCGGGAGGGCGCUUACCACUUUGUGAUUCAUGACUGGGGUGAAGUCGUAACAAGGUAACCGUAGGGGAACCUGCGGUUGGAUCACCUCCUUACCUUAAAGAAGC